rnacentral:piRNA from 1 species
UUAUCUCUUCAAUAGGUCCCU